UACGUAGGGUGCGAGCGUUAAUCGGAAUUACUGGGCGUAAAGCGUGCGCGGGCGGCUUUGCAAGACAGAUGUGAAAUCCCCGGGCUCAACCUGGGAACUGCAUUUGUGACUGCAAGGCUAGAGUACGGCAGAGGGGGAUGGAAUUCCGCGUGUAGCAGUGAAAUGCGUAGAUAUGCGGAGGAACACCAAUGGCGAAGGCAAUCCCCUGGGCCUGUACUGACGCUCAUGCAUGAAAGCGUGGGGAGCAAACAGG
rnacentral:rRNA from 1 species